UACUAAACCUAGGGUUCCAAACUUCCAAUAACUCCCAAAAAGAAAAAACACGCAGCUCUUCUUCUUCUCUCUCUUGCGCCUCAUCCCUAAUUUCCUACUACUCUAGUGCACUACAUCUCCUCAAACUUCCGUCAAUUCCGUCAAAAUAUCAAUCAAAUUCGACUCGAUUCAUCCUCAAACUUCAGAUCUAAAUCAUUUCGUGGACCUGUUCAUUUUCUUCUCACCACCUGAGAAAAUGUCAACAUUUGAUGAUGAUUAUGAUGAAUUGAUGGAGACAAAUUCAAGUCAAGCAGUUGAAGCACAAGAUUCUGAUGAGGCAGAGGUUUUGGAGAAGGCUCCAAAAAUAUGGCCUAAGAAGAAAAGAGCAAGGAAGAAACCAAAAGCUGAAAAGAGUCCAUCUUGUUGUAAUUUGUAUUAGCAAAAAUCUUUUGAGACUUUAUGGUAAUACAUCAGGUGUUUUAUUGUUGACGGUUGAGUAAAAACAAGUUUUUUUUUUAAAAACAACAGCAGAUUUUUUUUAAAAAAAUUACAGCAGUAUUUUUUUAAACAAAACAAUAGGUUUAUUAUUGUAUAUAUAGUAGAUUUUUUGUACAAAAAUACAGCAGGAUUUAGGUACAAACUUAUCUAAAAAAAAAAGUAAAUAAAAUCCGGGUACCCGAAUUAUCCGGGACGGGACACGGGCCGACUUAUCACCUACCCGAAGAUCCGGGUACCCGGAUAUGAACACCCCUAGUUUAUGGUGAUUAAAUCAUAUUCUUUAUUCUUAUUUAAUCACCCUUUUGAUGUCUAGAUUCAUUCUUUUCAUCUUACAUUCUUGAUUAUAAAUAGCUUGUUCAUUUUCUGAAUUACAUACACUUGAACAUAACCUUCAAACACAAGCUUAAACAGAUACUCUAUAUUGGCAUAAGUUACUUGGGUCCAACCUUCCACCCAAAAGUGCAUUUGUGUGGAAGUGGUGUGUUAAUCUUAGCGAAUGUGCCGGCGAAUACAAUUGUGCACUGCGGUUGCGCUGGAAUUUCAUUUUCAAGUCAGUGAAUUUGCUUCACGACACACUGUACUCUUUCCAUUGUCAUAAGAUCAACUUUUCGGUCUUAUUGUUUACUUCUUAUUGUAGCCUUGAAAUACUUCUUAUAUUACAACAGUUUUAUGCGUGA